GUCAGGAAAUGUCUUGGAACAUCUGCACCGAAGAAGAAAGCUGCACUAAGGUUCUGCAAUAACUCUCUUGAGGCCCUCAUCUAUGGAGUCCACCAGCACCGGGAUGCCCUCUACCUGAGGGAUGGCUCCAGGAAACCCCCCCAGCCUCACCACGCCGGCCUGGGAGGUGGUUGCAAGGGAGGUCAGCUCAUUGGGCACUCGCCCAAGAAACACAAUCCAGUGGAGGUAGAGGAUAAAUGAUCUCAUCCGCUCCGCCAGGGCACUAGAGGCCCAGACAGAACACCAGAGCAACCAUAUGCCCCAGCCCCCAGGCCACUUCAGAGGAGGAUGCUGAGGGUGCAUCAGAGGAAGAACUGUCACGCCAUUCACCUGCAGCUUCCAUCAGCAGUGGGUCAUGGAUCUAGAUUAGGCUCAGUGUCACAUUCUGGAGAACAUCUCACUGACACAUCUCCGCAGCAGUCGGAGGCAGUGACAGCCAGGAGGACUGCUGGAGAUCAGGCAUCCACUGAGUCUGAGUCAGAUGAUGAGCCUCUGCAAGUGGCUGUCUCUGACAUGCUGCAGAUCCAACGACAGACAGCGGAAAAUCAGGACCAGCCCUCAUACAACAGGUGUCACACCUACGAAGUUAUUGUUGAAACACCA